UAGGGAAUAUUGCAAAUGGGCGAAAGCCUGAUGUAGCAACGCCGCGUGUGCGAUGAAGGUCUUCGGAUUGUAAAGCACUUUUUGGAGGGAUGAGGAAGGACAGUACCUCCAGAAUAAGCCUCGGCUAACUACGUGCCAGCAGCCGCGGUAACACGUAGGAGGCAAGCGUUAUUCGGAUUUACUGGGCGUAAAGCGCGUGCAGGCGGUUUGGAAAGUUGGAUGUGAAAGCUCCUGGCUCAACUGGGAGAGGUCGUUCAAAACUUCCAGAGGUG
rnacentral:rRNA from 1 species